rnacentral:rRNA from 1 species
GAUGAACGCUGGCGGCGUGCCUAAUACAUGCAAGUCGAGCGAACGGACGAGAAGCUUGCUUCUCUGAUGUUAGCGGCGGACGGGUGAGUAACACGUGGAUAACCUACCUAUAAGACUGGGAUAACUUCGGGAAACCGGAGCUAAUACCGGAUGAUAUUUUGAACCACAUGGUUCAAAAGUGAAAGACGGUCUUGCUGUCACUUAUAGAUGGAUCCGCGCUGCAUUAGCUAGUUGGUAAGGUAACGGCUUACCAAGGCAACGAUGCAUAGCCGACCUGAGAGGGUGGUCGGCCACACUGGAACUGAGACACGGUCCAGACUCCUACGGGAGGCAGCAGUAGGGAAUCUUCCGCAAUGGGCGAAAGCCUGACGGAGCAACGCCGCGUGAGUGAUGAAGGUCUUCGGAUCGUAAAACUCUGUUAUUAGUGAAGAACAUAUGUGUAAGUAACUGUGCACAUCUUGACGGUACCUAAUCAGAAAGCCACGGCUAACUACGUG